rnacentral:rRNA from 1 species
GACGAACGCUGGCGGCGUGCUUAACACAUGCAAGUCGAACGGAAAGGCCCUGCUUUUGCGGGGUGCUCGAGUGGCGAACGGGUGAGUAACACGUGAGUAACCUGCCCUUGACUUUGGGAUAACUUCAGGAAACUGGGGCUAAUACCGGAUAGGAGCUCCUGCUGCAUGGUGGGGGUUGGAAAGUGUCGGCGGUUGGGGAUGUACUCGCGGCUUAUCAGCUGGUUGGUGGGGUAGUGGCUUACCAAGGCUUUGACGGGUAGCCUGCCUGGGAGGGUGACCGGGCACAUUGGGACUGAGAUACGGCGCAGACGCCUACGGGAGGCAGCAGUGGGGAAUAUUGCACAAUGGGCGGAAGCGUGAUGCAGAAACGCCGCGUGCGGGAUGACGGCCUUCGGGUUGUAAACCGCUUUCGCCUGUGACGAAGCGUGAGUGACGGUAAUGGGUAAAGAAGCACCGGCUAACUACGUG